CAGCAGUGGGGAUAUUGCACAAUGGGGGAAACCCUGAUGCAGCCAUGCCGCGUGUGUGAAGAAGGCCUUCGGGUUGUAAAGCACUUUCAGUAGGGAGGAAAGGUAACAGCUUAAUACGCUGUUGCUGUGACGUUACCUACAGAAGAAGGACCGGCUAACUCCGUGCCAGCAGCCGCGGUAAUACGGAGGGUCCGAGCGUUAAUCGGAAUUACUGGGCGUAAAGCGUGCGCAGGCGGUUUGUUAAGCGAGAUGUGAAAGCCCCGGGCUCAACCUGGGAAUUGCAUUUCGAACUGGCGAACUAGAGUCUUGUAGAGGGGGGUAGAAUUCCAGGUGUAGCGGUGAAAUGCGUAGAGAUCUGGAGGAAUACCGGUGGCGAAGGCGGCCCCCUGGACAAAGACUGACGCUCAGGCACGAAAGCGUGGGGAGCAAACAGGAUUAGAUACCCUGGUAGUCCACGCCGUAAACGAUGUCUACUCGGAGUUUGGUGUCUUGAACACUGGGCUCUCAAGCUAACGCAUUAAGUAGACCGCCUGGGGAGUACGGCCGCAAGGUUAAAACUCAAAUGAAUUGACGGGGCCC
rnacentral:rRNA from 1 species